rnacentral:lncRNA from 1 species
UAUGAGUUCAAAAAGUAUACAUCUUGAAGAAUCUUGGAACAUAAUAUGCUUGAGGAUAUUUUUAACUAAAUUUGAACAAUUCUGAGACAUUAAUGUGGAAGUAAGCUUCUUCAGUAGAAUUAAUCACUGGCUAUGCACUAUCUCAAUAUAGUCUAUGCUGAUGAACUCAACAUAUAAAACCUACAUAGCAUGCACAAAGUAGCUGAUACUAUCCUAUACC